rnacentral:rRNA from 1 species
UACGUAGGGUGCAAGCGUUAAUCGGAAUUACUGGGCGUAAAGCGUGCGCAGGCGGUUGCGCAAGACAGAUGUGAAAUCCCCGGGCUUAACCUGGGAAUGGCAUUUGUGACUGCACGGCUAGAGUGUGUCAGAGGGGGGUAGAAUUCCACGUGUAGCAGUGAAAUGCGUAGAUAUGUGGAGGAAUACCGAUGGCGAAGGCAGCCCCCUGGGAUAACACUGACGCUCAUGCACGAAAGCGUGGGGAGCAAACAGG